UGUAAGUGAUGACCCCUCUUCCCUGAUGUCCCUGAAGGUCAAAACUGGUUUAAUGAGCCUGAUGC
ensembl:snoRNA SNORD57 small nucleolar RNA, C/D box 57